GCUGUGUCCCCUGCCUCUCAACAAUGAUUCAUCAUCGCAAAUGCUGCCUAUGUAUUCACGUCGCAACAUCUUCACCCGGUGUACAGCCAACAGGUGGGCAUCCUAUGACAGUUCCACGCUGGCCUAAGUGCUUGAUUUGAUACACCGGGCCAAGUGAUUAGGACACCCGAUUCUCAUCAUUUGGAUGGGUGGCCAAAUACUUUUGGCAAUAUAGUUGUCCUGUAAGCCGUGAGGAGUCUUCUUGAUCCCGGGGAAGCCGUUUGAAGGUCUCAGUGGCUCUGACAGGAAGACACGCUCCACUCGCCGGUUGCUGGCCUGAAUCCCUCGGCUUUGGGCCUCUCCGACCGUCCUUUACGCCCGUUUUUGAUCCAGGGAGGAGAGUUGCACUGAUCUGACUCUGCUCCCUCAUCCCAAACACUC